AACGGCCGCGGUAUACUGACCGUGCAAAGGUAGCGCAAUCAAUUGUCUUUUAAAUGAAGGCCCGUAUGAAUGGCAUAACGAGGGCUUAACUGUCUCCUUUUUUCAGUCAAUGAAAUUGAUCUUACCGUGCAGAAGCGGUAAUAAUAACAUAAGACGAGAAGACCCUAUGGAGCUUAUAAACGCAAGAGCAGCUUAUGUCACUGUUAUAAAUUUACAAACUAUCUAAACCUAUUAACCCCUGCUCUAGUGUUUUUGGUUGGGGCGACCAUGGGAUAAAACUAAACUCCCACGCAGAAUGAAAACACAAUAUUUUCCAACUUAAGAACAACGGUUCUAAAAAACAGAACUUCUGACUUUAAUUGAUCCGGCCUGAGCCGAUAAACGAACAAAGUUACCCUAGGGAUAACAGCGCAAUCCUCUUUUAGAGUUCUUAUCGACAAGAAGGUUUACGACCUCGAUGUUGGACCAGGACAUCCUAAU
rnacentral:rRNA from 1 species